UAGGGAAUCUUCCACAAUGGACGAAAGUCUGAUGGAGCAACGCCGCGUGAGUGAUGAAGGCUUUCGGAUCGUAAAACUCUGUUGUAAGGGAAGAACAAGUGCGUUAGGUAAUGAACGCACCUUGACGGUACCUUAUUAGAAAGCCACGGCUAACUACGUGCCAGCAGCCGCGGUAAUACGUAGGUGGCAAGCGUUGUCCGGAUUUAUUGGGCGUAAAGCGCGCGCAGGUGGUUUCUUAAGUCUGAUGUGAAAGCCCACGGCUCAACCGUGGAGGGUCAUUGGAAACUGGGGGACUUGAGUGCAGAAGAGGAUAGUGGAAUUCCAAGUGUAGCGGUGAAAUGCGUAGAGAUUUGGAGGAACACCAGUGGCGAAGGCGACUGUCUGGUCUGUAACUGACACUGAGGCGCGAAAGCGUGGGGAGCAAACAGG
rnacentral:rRNA from 1 species